rnacentral:rRNA from 1 species
UGGGGAAUAUUGGACAAUGGGCGAAAGCCUGAUCCAGCCAUGCCGCGUGUGUGAAGAAGGUCCUCGGAUUGUAAAGCACUUUAAGUUGGGAGGAAGGGCAGUAAGCGAAUACCUUGCUGUUUUGACGUUACCGACAGAAUAAGCACCGGCUAACUCUGUGCCAGCAGCCGCGGUAAUACAGAGGGUGCAAGCGUUAAUCGGAAUUACUGGGCGUAAAGCGCGCGUAGGUGGUUCGUUAAGUUGAAUGUGAAAGCCCCGGGCUCAACCUUGGAACUGCAUCCAAGACUGGCGAGCUAGGGUAGGGCAGGGGGUGGUGGAAUUUCCUGUGUAGCGGUGAAAUGCGUAGAUAUAGGAAGGAACACCAGUGGCGAAGGCGACCACCUGGGCUCAUACUGACGCUGAGGUGCGAAAGCGUGGGGAGCAAACAGG